CAAACAUGUAUACAUUUUGAUUAUAAAAAGACCUGCUCAUUCUGGGCUUUGAAGUCAAGGAGGCGGUCCUUUCAGUGAUUGACAGCCAUAUCUGUAUACACAGUCAUAGAAGCGAGGAUAUCAAUCACUGAUGGGAUCAACUACUGGACUUUAAAGC